UGACCUCAAAUCAGGUAGGACUACCCGCUGAACUUAAGCAUAUCAAUAAGCGGAGGAAAAGAAACUAACAAGGAUUCCCCUAGUAACUGCGAGUGAAGCGGGAAAAGCUCAAAUUUAAAAUCUGGCGGUCUUUUGGCUGUCCGAGUUGUAAUCUAGAGAAGUGUUAUCCGCGCUGGACCGUGUACAAGUCUCCUGGAAUGGAGCAUCAUAGAGGGUGAGAAUCCCGUCUUUGACAUGGACUGCCAGGGCUUUGUGAUGCGCUCUCAAAGAGUCGAGUUGUUUGGGAAUGCAGCUCAAAAUGGGUGGUAAAUUCCAUCUAAAGCUAAAUAUUGGCGAGAGACCGAUAGCGAACAAGUACCGUGAGGGAAAGAUGAAAAGAACUUUGGAAAGAGAGUUAAACAGUACGUGAAAUUGCUGAAAGGGAAACGCUUGAAGUCAGUCACGUUGUCCAGGGAUCAACCUUGCUUUUGCUUGGUGCACUUUCUGGUUCGACGGGUCAGCAUCAAUUUCGAUCGUUGGAAAAAGGCCAAGGGAAUGUGGCAUCUUUGGAUGUGUUAUAGCCCUUUGUCACAUACAAUGGUUGGGAUUGAGGAACUCAGCACGCCGCAAGGCCGGGUUUAAACCACGUACGUGCUAG
rnacentral:rRNA from 1 species